GAAGCGCGCGGGCGGGCCGACGAGGCAGUUCCGGUCGGCGCAGGCGGCCCCCUCCCGCUCGGAAGGUGAGUGGGCGCCGGUCCGCCGGGUCCGCCCUGCCCGCGACGUCCCGCGCGGUGACUGCGGCCGUCGCUGCACGCGGCCCCAAGGCGGCGCGGGGAGCAGCCCGGGUCGGGCGCGGGAGGAGGACGGGGCCAGCGCAGGCCACGCCCGCUGCCCGCGGCGCCCGCUGCCCGCUCCUGCAGAAGGCGCGUUGCUGCAGACCUCCCGCGCCGCAGUGUGGAAGAAAAACGCUCUCACGCUGGACGCGAGCCGUUCGUGCAAACCAAGUUAAGGAACAGUGUUUGGCCCCAGAUGAGUCUCGGGGUGUGGCGGGCAGGCCGGACUUGGGGGUUGCCCCCUGCGGCCUGCGACUCUGCAGGGCGGGAGGAAGAGCUUCCUGGGAUCUAAUCUAGCACCUCCGUGCCCCAGCAGGCAUGUUCAGCUUUUCACCCCCCCAGGGCCAGGAGCCCCCGGAUAUGGUACAGGAGGUUCCCCUGGAAGUGUCAGCAUGCUCUUAUGGUGGGUGAAGCCUCGGGUUGGAAGGACAUUCAGGAUCUUUUGCUGAAGAACUUGGGGUCAGUCACUGCAGGUCUGCUGAUGCUGUCCAGGUGACGUCCUAAUAGGAUUUCACAUUGAACAAAACCUCCCAGGUCCUUGAAUCGCCUCCUACCACAAGCUGGGCACCUCUCCACUUGCCCUUACCUCUUGGCAUCCUUGUGUUCCUGAAUGAGGAACACUGUGUCAUAUGGGGCUGCUUAGGACCUGGUGUGUUGUCCCCUCUCCCCACAGACUUCUCCACCACCCUCAUCUGCCUUGAUUUUCAUUUUCUUCAGGUCCCAGGUGCACACACCUUCAGGAAGUCUCUGGAAGAUGGCGGCUCUAGGAGCUGUUGAGGAAGUUCUUCCUGUCCCAUCUCCCAUCAGUCUGUCAUCAUCAGGGACACCUGGAGCCCGGCACCACACAGCACAGCUUCACCUCCACAGUCAUCCACACGGUACUCAUCUGGCCCACUGUGUUCCCUCUGCCCUACCUCCACACUAUGGAGCCCCCAUCUGACCCAGCAACCCAGCUGGCUGAGAGGCAGCAGCAGACAGUUGUGCAGCUUCUUGGAGGCAGGGGCCUGAGAGGCAGCGCUAGGUCAGGACUCAGCCGUGGGAGGAGACCAAACCCAUGUCUGGCUUCCUAGGAAAAAGCCCCUGGGACCAUGGGACCAUUUCUUCCCUGGUGUAGAAAGAGUAGCCUCAGAAUCUGGGUCUGGUGUGAGCAGGAGUGAGCCAGCACCCCCAGCCCUGUCUGAAGCUGUGUUCCCAAGCAGGAGAAGAGAGCCCAGAGUUGUUGCUAGGCUGCUUUGGGUAUGGAACCUGUGGGACCUGCAGGGAUGGAGCCAUUGGCCUUGGUUUUACCCACAGUGUGUGUCUUUACUGGUCACAAGUAAGGAGCAGGCAGGGUGCACUGUGCCCCUGGCACACCUGGCUCUUGGGUCAUGGUGUCCUGAGGCUUCCUCUCUGUGUUGGAUAGCCAGGCUCAGUGCUCCUAAGAGCCUGAGCCAUUGACAGCAAAGACAAGGUCCCUCGUAAGGUAUGUCCUGGCAGCCUGCACCUAUGUUUAGAAGCUGGUGAAAGGUCCAGGAAAACAGCCUUCCUGGUGCCCAAGGUUCUCAGUCUUGGCUGUUCUUGUUAGUCUGUCUACUGGCAUAGUGACGCUGAGGCUUGUGGAGCAUGACUGCUGUACCAGGUCUAGGAUGAGCUUUUCAAAGCCCAGCCACAGCCUUUCACAUGCACACUCACAGAUAAGGACAGAGAGGACACCAAUAGCCAGGAAAUCACAUGGUGCAGCACAGGCCAAAAUGGGAGUUGUGAGCUCUGCGUCUGCUGCCUGACGGCAGGACCUUUUGCCCCUGCCCAUCCCCAGGAUAUUGCUGGGAAAGUACUUCUUUGGAGCACCUUGCAGUGGUUCCUGUGAACUAGGUGGAAUGUCUGGAAGGACCUCAGACUUAUUCUGUGCCGAGCCUUGUGGGGCCACCCCUACCACCAUCUCUUUCUCCUCUCCGGUGGUUUCUGGACCUUCAAGGGCCCCUGGCCUGUGCCCAGGGCCUGCGUCUCAGAGCCCAGAGCUGAGCCCCUUUGCCAUCUGGUUUCUCAGGAGUGCUCCAAGGCCCACAGAUCCCUGACAGACCCCAGUGUUUCCAGAACCUGCCCAGGGUUCCCCUGCCAGUUAGAAUUCGAGCCAGAACUUCUUAGAGCCAAUCCUUCCAGCUUCCAAGUCAGAGUCUGAGAUGAGCCAGAGGAAGCCCACCCAGGAGCCCUGAGUCCCAGUGAUCGUCAGAAGCCCACCCCAUACCCAGUCACUCCUAGAGACUCUCUGGCUGGGCUCAUACUGGGCACUUGGUGUCCUUGCAAGAGGAGCUGGCUCCUUCCUCCUCAGAGGAAAUGAAGGAUGCAGGGGGUUCAUUAAGCAGGGUGCUCAGCUGUCCCUGUGGGCAGCAGGCUGAGAUCCUGUGUCCGAAGCUGAGACCACCUCCUGGCUGGUCCCAGCCUCUUAGAGCAGGCUAGGAAGCAGGUGUAGGACAUAGUUGUUCUUCUCCCAGGACCUCUGUGUUCCUACAUAGACACAGGUCAGGGGCCAUGGCCAGUUUUGGGGUGCUGAGGGUCUGACACAGCUCCUCAGGGUCUGUGUUGUAUCAAUAUAGGGGCAGUGGAGGGCAGUGGGGCCUUCUGAUGGGGGCAUGGGAAGGAGGCCAGGCCAGAGACUGCCCAGCUUUUGUCUGCUUACAGAGCAAGGGAGGGUAAGUCCCAAAGCCAGGUUCUCAGGAGGGCUUCCUGGGGCAGCUCUUGACCAAGCCGGGGAGGAGGAGAAAGGGUACUCCUGGCUGGGGAGGCUCCUGGCAGUGGCACGGAGUCAAGCUGCCCUGCUCUUCUAGAGGUGCUGGGGAGGUGUAUCCGUGGCAGUGGAGGAGGUGGUGCUGUGUGUUAAGGGCUUGGCCCAGGAGCACGUGGCAUCCUGUAGGUGCCCUGGGCAAGUGGGGCUGAUUCCAGGGGAGGCAGCACUCUGGAGGGUGGGGCCUGAGCCAUAGCCCCCAACCCCUAGGCUCUCCCAGCUCCAACCCUGAGGUGCUCUCCCAGCCAUCAGAACUGGAUCUCCAAGACCUAGAGGAAGUGGAGAUCGGCAGAGACACCUGGCUUGGUGAGUGAGGACCACUGCCCACCCUACCCCGGCACACUGAGCACGUUUCCCAUUGCCCUGGAGCUCCUGAGCACCAGGCUCUGGGUAUUCCCACUGCUGUGGCUGGCGGCUGCUAUCUGAGGUUGGGCAGCUGCUUCCAGGGAGUUGGGCUACAGUACAGUUGUCACUGAGGCCACCGCCACCCCAUGGAGCUCUCUGAGCAGGUAUGAGCUCAUUGGAUCUUACCCGUCUGGCAUGGCAGGCUUCAAGAGAGGCUUGUUUCUUGUCCCUCAGUACUUGAGCCCAAAGGAUCAAAGUUCCAGAUCCUUGCCAGUCCUUAAUGUCAACCCUUGGGCCACCUCCUCCCAGCUCAGAGUAGACAUGCAGGUCUCGUUAACCACUGUGUCCUCGUAGACAGCCAAGGCCCCGUACACAUGCUCAGGUCACCAUCUGACAGAGCCCAGCUGCCCCCCACCGUAUGUUUCAUCUCAGCUGUUUGGGGCAGAACACCUUGGCCACUGUUCGGGGCCUCCUUCCACCUCACCAGUCCCAAGUCAGGCUUACCCCCCCAGGUUCUGCUCUUACUUGGUCCCAGUCCCUAGAAUGCCGCAGUGGGGCUGGAGCUGGGUACCAUCUGUCUGCCGUCUCUCCUUUCAGACUCAGAGGCAGAGCCUGGGCAGGCUCCAUCAUCUCCCCACCAGCAUGUUUCUGAAGACAGGGUGGACCCAGAGGGAGGGGCUCUGAGGGGCCUCCUGAGGAACUCUCCCCACAGGCCCAAGUGUGGGGAGAGCUUUGGGCAGGAGUCCAGCCUGGAGCGGCCAGCAGACCAGCCUCCAGGGCCCAUGCCCUGCACCCUGAGGAGGAGUGCCUGGUGCCUGGCACUCCUGUCGCAGGGAGCUUCAGAGACCGAGGGCAGCCCUGAACAGGCUCCAGAGCUGGGGUGCAGCUUGGGUCCCAGGCCACCACAGGCCAGUGCACGCGGCACCAAGCCGCACCGCUGCGAAGCCUGUGGCAAGAGCUUCAAGUACAACUCGCUGCUGCUGAAGCACCAGCGCAUCCACACAGGUGAGAAGCCCUAUGCCUGCCACGAGUGCGGCAAGCGCUUCCGUGGCUGGUCGGGCUUCAUCCAGCACCACCGCAUCCACACCGGGGAGAAGCCCUACGAGUGUGGCCAGUGCGGCCGCGCCUUCAGCCACAGCUCACACUUUACGCAGCACUUGCGCAUCCACAACGGCGAAAAGCCCUACAAGUGCCGCGAGUGUGGCCAGGCCUUCAGCCAGAGCUCCAACCUGGUGCGCCACCAGCGGCUGCACACGGGCGAGAGGCCCUACGCCUGCAGCCAGUGUGGCAAGGCCUUCAUCUGGAGCUCCGUGCUCAUUGAGCACCAGCGCAUCCACACGGGCGAGAAGCCCUACGAGUGCGCCGACUGCGGCAAGGCCUUCCGCGGCCGCUCGCACUUCUUCAGGCACCUACGGACUCACACCGGCGAGAAGCCUUUCGCGUGUGGUGCCUGCGGCAAGGCAUUCGGCCAGAGCUCCCAGCUCAUCCAGCACCAGAGGGUGCACUACCGCGAGUAGCCACAGCCUGGCCUGCAGUAAAUCCUGUGUGUGGAAACAGGAGCUGGCUUCUGCUGGGCGAGGUGGGCUGCUUCCCGACCUGAGGGCCACCAAGGGGGAGGGCCUGAGGCCAGGAGCCGGCCUGACCCUUCCAGAGCCUUGCCAUGGAGCCGUCAGACCUGCCCAGCACCGGAUGGGGACCAGUGGCAGCACCUGGAGCAGGCGGGGCGGACGGGGGGCUGCCUUCCAGGCUCCUGCGUUCCUCCAGCAGCCUGUGGCCUGGCCCAGGCUUCCUGUCGACCCUGGGCACAGGGUCUGCGGCAGCUGGGUCUCCUCAUGGCAGGUCUCCCCGCACAGCCCUCAGGCCUGUCCGUUGUCUCCUCCUUGCUCUUCCAUUUAGGGCUUGCAAGGUCAGCAGGCUUCCAUGAGAGGACCUCCCCGACCUGUGUUCUCCCUACCUGCCUCCCAUGCUGCUCCUGCUCUGACAAGGUGGGGACCUUGAGUUGUUGGGGCUGGACAGGUGUGCAGAGGGGUCAGGAUUUUGUCCUCUGAAGAUCUUCCCAGAGAGUCCUGUGGAGGGAAGGGCAGAGCCCGGUGCAGAGGGCAGGCUCCAAGCAGCCAGGGUUCCGGGCACCUUUCCUGCCCAGCUGUUCCCUCCAGAGCAGCUGAGGGACAGCAGACUCCUCCCAAGACUGCAGUGCCCAAGUGUGACCUCCCUGGCCCUCCCCACUGCUGGGCUUGCCCAGGGUUCCUGCUGGCAGGUCCCCGUGGUGGCUGGGAGGCACUACCCUGCUGCACUGGUGGUGUGCUUUGUGGCUGUCAUCAGCCCUUGGCCAGCCUGCUUCCCAGGGGACACGGAAGUUAUGAGGUGACGCAUGGCUUCCUGCAUGUCACAAGCAGUGACCCAUCUCAAGUCUCCUGAUGGGUCACACAGCCCUCUGCAGCCCCUUGAGGAAGGCACCUGUGGCCACCAAGUGCUGUUUGCCCCCACCCUGUGUCCCCAUGCCAACUGAGAGCCAAUCUAGAGGUGAGAGCUAGAGGUUAGGCUGUUGCCUGCCUCCCCCGCCCCUCAGGGAUACGUGGGCAGCGCGAGACUCUGCAGGCAGCCCAGCAGCCUCAUCACCAAGGACGGGCUCCAUUGGCAGUAAUGGAACCCAGCAGCAUCUAGGGAAGGUCCUAUGGUGCUCCAGGGGUCCCAGCCUCCUGGAAGUGGCCUUCAGGCACCUUGUGGGGCAGGGCCAGGUGCCCCAGAACUAGCUGUGGGUGCUAGUGGCUGGCAGGGCAGCUCUUCUGUGCUGGGUCUAAACCUUUGCUGAGGCAAAGUCACCGUUGUCCCUUGCUGGGCAGGACCACCAAGAUGAGCUGAAGUGGAAUUUGCAUCUCCCGUGGUACCCUUUUUCCUCCAAUCCCUGGCAGUCAGCAGAUUCCCAGAUGUUCCACCUGAUCUCCACCCAAUGUUUCCAGGAAAUUCAGUGUUAGGGGUCAGGCAUGGCUCCUCAGGACCGUUCUACUUACCCUUGCCCAUCCCCAUCAGCAUUCACUUGAUUAGAGCACUUAUCUCCUGUGCCCCAGAGGAACCUGGGCACCAUCUCCCCUCAGUUAUUCCUGCCUUGCAGGAGGUAUCUUGUCUGGGCCAGCCUGUGAAGGGCUCCUGCAGUGGCUGUUUCCAAACUCCAGAAGUGACCAUUUCUGUGAGCACAGCGUCUGCAUUUGGUCCCAGAGAAAGGGGCCCUAGAGGGACACUUGAGCCAUCAGGUCCUGGAGCUGCCAGAAAGGAUUUUGUGAGGCAGUUUCCAGGGAUUGCAGGCAAGGGGAGGGAGGGCUGUGAGCUGAUGAAUCCUAGAUGGAACCACUUGGUUUUAGAGUAUGAGGAUCUGCCCCAGGUGCCGUGAGACAAGAGGCAGAUAUAUCCAGGGUCACGCUGCGUUUUAUUGUGGAACUUACUGACAAAGGCAAAGUUGUGAUAAGAUCCAUUGCAUUCUCAAAGUUUGGAUCAGAAAGGGACAUAUAUAUGAAUCAGGACCAAAGUAACCUCAUCCUGGCUGAAUUGUACCUGGUUUAUCUUAAUAUGGAAGAGUUGGGUACAUCCCUGGAGUCGGGGUCUAACCUUGUGCAUUGUUUGCUAGUUGGUGAGUGCAAAACCACUAAGCACCACCAGGAGGAAGAGUAGAAAGGCAUAUUACUUGAAGUCAGGAGAACACGAGAUAAUUCUCAAAGCAGUGUGCCCCCCCAAAACAAAGCAAUGGGCUUUUAUUGGGGAAAUGGGCAUAUUCCCCUAGGAGGCUCAUCACUUGUAGAGGUGGGCACACUGCUGGGAAUGCUCAGUUUGAGGUCACAGCAUAGCCUUUAAAAAAAAAAAAAAAAAAAAACCCCAGCUGGCGAUGCCUCUGGGCAGAGAAUUCAGUAUUACAAUGAGCAGAGUUCACUCCAGGUCACCUAGACUCCGUGGUCAGCAGCUUGCACUGGUUCCUUGUGAGUUGCUCUGGAGAGUUUGGUCUGGAACAAAACACCUCUGAUGGAGCAUUAAGUCACUUAAGGGGCGGCUUCUCCUUUCCUCCAGGAAGCCUAGGCGUUUGUCCCCAACUGUACCAGCCCAGUGCUAACAGUAUGAUUCUGUGGCUUGUCUAUCACAGUUUGCUGGGGAACUGUGCAGGAAAAACCAAUUAGGGUUACUCUGGGGCAAUUGUGGGGGUAGACUCAAGAUGGCUGUAGUCAAGCUGAAUCUACCCAGGCUGCACGUGGCUGUGGCAAAAAGGGUCAAUCCUGGGUUUGGAGACUGCUGUUGGACACAAGGGUUUGGUUUUUACAUAAACAUACCUGUAUGGUGCAAUGGAUAAGAAAAUCAACUGUGGAACUUAAAGGACAGCUGUACUCUUAUCUGUGUAAAAUGAGAUUAAUUUCUCUGAACCUGUUUCCUGGUUAGUAAUAUGAUGAAGUCGGGUUUUCAGUGUUUUGAGAGCCCUUGGGUAAGUUGGGACUUCAGUCGCAAAGCAGUUAGCAACCCUGCCCUUCAAGGGGAUAGAGGAGGCCAGAUCCUGGUGUUGACCAGGUGCCCCUCACGGGAUACUUCCUUCAUCUGGUAGGUAGCCUUGUGUUUAGCUGUGGACCUGUACCAAGGUUUCCUCACUUGGGAGCGUGUCUAUGCUGGCAGACACCUGAGUGGCUCUUGUCUGACCCAUUUUGUGGAAGGCAAUCCAUCUUUGCCCCCGCGGUUCCUUUCUAAGUACUCCGCUCCUGCAGCUGGUCCGACUGUGCCUAGCCUGGGUUCAUUGCUGGACGCUCGCGUUCCCACCCCAGUCCCGGCCAGCACCCCCUCUCUCCUGGACCACAGCCUCAACCCAGAGUUGGAUUCCCUUUUUCUUCCCACCUACAAGCACAAAGGCCUUGACGCCCCCCACUUCCCGCAAGCCCUUAUGGCCUGUAGGUCCCCUUGCUUGCCCCGUCUGUGCCCCACCGCCGCAUCCCCUAGCACCUCGGACAGCGCCGGGCGAGCAGCCGCGGUCCCCAGGCUGGACUUGGGAGCCAGCCUUCGGAAGUGCCUGCGGCGUGGGGCGGGGCCUGCUGGCCGCGCUUCCGUCUCAGCGGUGCGCGUGCCGCGCGCUGGAACUUGGGCCUCCGGGACCACGGAGCACCCCUCUGCCCCCGAGCCGGCCGGCCGUGCGUCCUCCGGGGCCCCUCUGGUCCCGGUCCGCCCCGCGCGCGGCGGCCAGCUGCAGCUGUGAGCGUGGGGUGUGUCCCCUGCAUCAAGCCAGGGACCCACUCCGCAGGCGCGCCUUGAACGAGGCCGGUACCGUCUGGCCAGCGACACCUGGUGGCCACCGUGAAAGGAGGGAGGCUGGAGGAGUCGUGGGGAAAGCUGCGCGGCGCGUUCCUCUCCGCGAAGGCGCGUCCUGGAAUGUCGGGACAGCGCUUUCUCAGUGCAGCCCACCGGGAUCGCCGAGCGUCUGCCCCUGUCGCCUUCUCCUGCACACCAGUCGGGGCGAAAGGGAUGCUCCUGCUGUUGCCGCCGGAAGAGACCCACCCUCCUGGACCUUGCCUGGACACGGUCUGUUGGCCAGGCAGCUAGCCGCUGCCUGCCUCCUGCGCAGUCCUGUGUCCCUUCGGAGCGCACCUGGGCUCUAAGCACAGCCCGGUGGGUGUCUUCUGAGACCCUCAGGACCUGUCCCAGGACCGGAAGUGUACAUCCCAGCCAAUGGGCUCUGGCACCGGCUCUAACCUUGUCUCCCGCCUCACCUGCCCAGGGAGACCGGCCAGACUCUCCGUCAGGCAGCCAGGAUCCCAGAACACCGUACUUACCUCUCCAGCCCCCUUCUUCGUCCCUCGGGCUCGAGCCCCAACCCUGCUGCCUCCCCUCACUCAGCCAGCAGCCUCCAUGGGCUCUGCCAACAGCCCACCCUUGCCUGCUGCCCUACUGGGUGGGUGGGAGGUACCCCGCCACACCGCAGAUCUCAGGGAGGAAAGUUGAAGUCGCAUCCUUAAAAAGCACGUUUUUAACAAAUUUCUUUUCCCCAAAGCAUUUGUUUGUGGUCUUUAAAGAAAUUUUAGAAAAUGUAAAAAGAAAGAAAAAGAAUAAUGGAAACCAGGAAA
rnacentral:lncRNA from 1 species